AAUUUUGGACAAUGGGCGAAAGCCUGAUCCAGCCAUGCCGCGUGAGUGAUGAAGGCCCUCGGGUUGUCCAGCUCUUUCACCGGUGAAGAUAAUGACGGUAGCCGGAGAAGAAGCCCCGGCUAACUUCGUGCCAGCAGCCGCGGUAAUACGAAGGGGGCUAGCGUUGUUCGGAAUUACUGGGCGUAAAGCGCACGUAGGCGGACUAUUUAGUCAGGGGUGAAAUCCCGGGGCUCAACCCCGGAACUGCCUUUGAUACUGGUAGUCUAGAGUCCGGAAGAGGUGAGUGGAAUUCCGAGUGUAGAGGUGAAAUUCGUAGAUAUUCGGAGGAACACCAGUGGCGAAGGCGGCUCACUGGUCCGGAACUGACGCUGAGGUGCGAAAGCGUGGGGAGCAAACAG
rnacentral:rRNA from 1 species